rnacentral:rRNA from 1 species
UACGUAGGAUGCAAGCGUUGUCCGGAUUUACUGGGCGUAAAGCGCGCGCAGGCGGCAGUACAAGUACCCUCUGAAAUCUCCUUGCUCAACGAGGAGGGUGGAGGGUAGACUGUGCAGCUAGAGGAGGGUAGAGGGGGGUAGAAUUGCUGGUGUAGCGGUGAAAUGCGUAGAGAUCAGCAGGAAUACCCGUGGCGAAGGCGGCCAGCUGGGCCAUUGCUGACGCUGAGGCGCGACAGCGUGGGGAGCAAACAGG